rnacentral:rRNA from 2 species
GCAGUCGAGCGAACUGAUUAGAAGCUUGCUUCUAUGACGUUAGCGGCGGACGGGUGAGUAACACGUGGGCAACCUGCCUGUAAGACUGGGAUAACUUCGGGAAACCGAAGCUAAUACCGGAUAGGAUCUUCUCCUUCAUGGGAGAUGAUUGAAAGAUGGUUUCGGCUAUCACUUACAGAUGGGCCCGCGGUGCAUUAGCUAGUUGGUGAGGUAACGGCUCACCAAGGCAACGAUGCAUAGCCGACCUGAGAGGGUGAUCGGCCACACUGGGACUGAGACACGGCCCAGACUCCUACGGGAGGCAGCAGUAGGGAAUCUUCCGCAAUGGACGAAAGUCUGACGGAGCAACGCCGCGUGAGUGAUGAAGGCUUUCGGGUCGUAAAACUCUGUUGUUAGGGAAGAACAAGUACAAGAGUAACUGCUCGUACCUUGACGGUACCUAACCAGAAAGCCACGGCUAACUACGUGCCAGCAGCCGCGGUAAUACGUAGGUGGCAAGCGUUAUCCGGAAUUAUUGGGCGUAAAGCGCGCGCAGGCGGUUUCUUAAGUCUGAUGUGAAAGCCCACGGCUCAACCGUGGAGGGUCAUUGGAAACUGGGGAACUUGAGUGCAGAAGAGAAAAGCGGAAUUCCACGUGUAGCGGUGAAAUGCGUAGAGAUGUGGAGGAACACCAGUGGCGAAGGCGGCUUUUUGGUCUGUAACUGACGCUGAGGCGCGAAAGCGUGGGGAGCAAACAGGAUUAGAUAC